UCGAUACUGGGGCUUUUUGAA
ensembl:piRNA 21ur-3036 ncRNA